rnacentral:rRNA from 1 species
UAAGGAAUAUUGCUCAAUGGGAGAAAUCCUGAAGCAGCAACGCCGCGUGGAGGAUGAAGGGUCUAUGACUUGUAAACUCCUGUAAAGAAGGAAAAAAUUCCCAUUUGAUGGGAGAUGAUGGUACUUCUGGAGUAAGCCCCGGCUAACUACGUGCCAGCAGCCGCGGUAAUACGUAGGGGGCAAGCGUUGUCCGGAUUUACUGGGUGUAAAGGGUGCUCAGGCGGAUUUGUAAGUCAGAGGUGAAAUCUUACAGCUUAACUGUGAAGCUGCCUUUGAUACUGCAAGCCUAGAGUAUGGAAGAGGGUGAUGGAAUAUCUGGUGUAGCAGUGAAAUGCGUAGAUAUCAGAUAGAACUCCAAUGGCGAAGGCAGUCACUUGGUCCAUUACUGACGCUAAAGCACGAAAGCGUGGGUAGCAAACA